rnacentral:rRNA from 1 species
AAUGAACGCUGGCGGCAGGCCUAAAACAUGCAAGUCGAACGCCCUAGCAAUAGGGAGUGGCGCACGGGUGAGUAACAUGUGGGAAUAUGCCUUUUGGUACGGAACAACGUUUGGAAACGAACGCUAAUACCGUAUGGUCCCUCCGGGGUAAAGAUUUAUCGCCAAAAGAUUAGCCCGCACUAGAUUAGCUAGUUGGUAAGGUAAUGGCUUACCAAGGCGACGAUCUAUAGCUGUUCUGAGAGGAAGAUCAGCCACACUGGGACUGAGACACGGCCCAGACUCCUACGGGAGGCAGCAGUUAGGAAUAUUGGACAAUGGGCGCAAGCCUGAUCCAGCCAUGCCGCGUGAGUGAUGAAGGCCUUCAGGUUGUAAGCUCUUUAGCCGACGAAUAUAAUGACUGUAGUCGGAGAAUAAGCCCCGGCUAACUUCGUGCCAGCCGCCGCAGUAAGAC